rnacentral:lncRNA from 1 species
AAAACUAAUGCUAUUUUAUUUUAUUUUUUCUGCAGGAAUGGUUCAGGCGGGGUACAAUACUCUGAACAACACAACCAUAGCCAUUUACUCACUAGGUGUCCACUUAUUCAUUUUCAGGAAAUUUAGUUGAAGUGGCCUCUCAUUAUCUGAAGUACUAAUUGAACCUAUUUUCCUUUUCGAAGCCUGUCUACCUGCAUUCAUUUUAAAGCAAUAACUCGUGGAUGAGCAACACCACUCACACUGAUGGCUCCACUUAUGCAGUGACCAAAACAGCAGCACAUCCCCACAGUCAGAUCACGAAUCGCCGUGACUUCAUCUCCACGUUAUGCAAUUCAAUCACGGUCAGCUACUGUCAAAAUUGAACAAGAAGUCUGUUUAUAGCCAGCUACCUUAAUAAUAAUAACAACCAGGUUUUGGCUCUGUUGCCUCUGCUGGUAGAUGUUGUAACUACACCAUUAUGAAGGUAAAAA